rnacentral:rRNA from 1 species
AUUGAACGCUGGCGGCAUGCCUUACACAUGCAAGUCGAACGGUAACGGGCCUUCGGGUGCCGACGAGUGGCGAACGGGUGAGUAAUACAUCGGAACGUGCCCGAUCGUGGGGGAUAACGAGGCGAAAGCUUUGCUAAUACCGCAUACGAUCUACGUAUGAAAGCAGGGGACCGCAAGGCCUUGCGCGGACGGAGCGGCCGAUGGCAGAUUAGGUAGUUGGUGGGAUAAAAGCUUACCAAGCCGACGAUCUGUAGCUGGUCUGAGAGGAUGAUCAGCCACACUGGGACUGAGACACGGCCCAGACUCCUACGGGAGGCAGCAGUGGGGAAUUUUGGACAAUGGGCGCAAGCCUGAUCCAGCCAUGCCGCGUGCAGGAUGAAGGCCUUCGGGUUGUAAACUGCUUUUGUACGGAACGAAAAGCCUUCUUUUAAUACAGGAGGGUCAUGACGGUACCGGAAGAAUAAGCACCGGCUAACUACGUG